rnacentral:tRNA from 1 species
GGAACGGUGUCCGAGUGGUUGAAGGAGCACGCCUGGAAAGUGUGUAACGGGGCAACCUGUUCGAGAGUUCGAAUCUCUCCCGUUCCG